rnacentral:rRNA from 1 species
GUUGGUGGAGUGAUUUGUCUGGUUAAUUCCGUUAACGAACGAGACCUCGACCUGCUAAAUAGUUGACCUAAUCCUCAUUAGAUUGGGUCAUACUUCUUAGAGGGACUAUCGGUUGGUGUACCCGGUGGAAGUUCGAGGCAAUAACAGGU